rnacentral:tRNA from 1 species
GUAAGUAUAGUUUAACCAAAAUAUUAGAUUGUGAUUCUAAAAAUAGGGGUUAAAAUCUCCUUACUCACC